rnacentral:rRNA from 1 species
UACAGAGGUGGCAAGCGUUGUUCGGAAUUAUUGGGCGUAAAGCGCGUGUAGGCGGCCAGAUAGGUCUGCUGUGAAAACUCGAGGCUCAACCUCGAGCUGUCGGCGGAAACCAUCUGGCUAGAGUCCGGAAGAGGAGAGUGGAAUUCCUGGUGUAGCGGUGAAAUGCGCAGAUAUCAGGAAGAACACCUAUGGCGAAGGCAGCUCUCUGGGACGGUACUGACGCUGAGACGCGAAAGCGUGGGGAGCGAACAGG